UCUCUUUCGUUUUAGAUGCAAGGGGUGGUUGUUAGUUUCGCCAUUGACCCUCGACGGCGGUAGGAAGAGGUGACGAGACUAAAAUCAGGAGUAGCAGAAGACAAAUGAGGGUCCGAUGAUCCGGUUUCUCUCGCCUGAGCUCCCCCUUUUCUAGAAAUAUACCACCCGACCUCCGAAUCAAUAGCUCUGGAACAUGGAGGACGUUUUUAGGUUUUCUUCAAGAGAACGUGAGAAGUAAUUGUUAGGUUUGAUAAAUACAGAUUGGAAGUGGAAAACGUACACAUUGUGUGGUUAACAAACCGCCACGCCUGAAGAUCAAUCGACCGGUGGUAAUCAAGAGUUGUUCUGCCCGUCUUCCAGGUGUAUUCAAAUACACAAAAACCUCAUAAAUCUCUUUACUAACGUCAAUUUAUGAUGAUAAAUGAAAAUACUGAAAUGGAGAUCAAAAAAUGUUACUGGAAUUCCUGAAAGAAAGCGAGAAACACG